rnacentral:misc_RNA from 1 species
AAAGCGCGUUAGCUACUGCGAACUGCAGGAUUACUUGAGCAGCAAGAGCUUGAACGCAAAUUGCGGCUUCGGGUAUUCCCGGAGUCACGUUCGCCUGAGGGUCGAAAUAUCAACAUCUACAACCAUUUGUUGGUUAAUGAAAUGGCUUCGCCGACAGCUUGCUGUCUGCGAGCUUAAGAUGAUUAUAAACAGCUUUGAUCAGUUAACACCGAAUGUGUUUAACAUUGUUCAACAACUUGUUAAUUAUCUAUUUUCCAACAUCGACCUCAGACGAGCGAGAUUGCCCGCUGAGUUUAA